rnacentral:lncRNA from 1 species
GUCAUUCUUCAAGGCAACAGAUGCAAGAAUGAGCUCAUGUCAAAUGAUAUUUUCUGAUUUUUUUCUCCAGAUGUGGGGAACGAAAUUGGAUCUUGUGCUUUUGGGUGCUAACUUUGAGCCCUCUUCCUUUACAUCUAAAUGACAAUUUGUGGAUCAAUGAGGAUGUGUCAACUAGCCAAGAUCGAGGACCUGGAGGGGUGCUCUGUGGAAACUGCUUUAAAAUCCUUCAGAGGGUGGGCACGGAGCUCUGGUUCUGGUAUGUUCACUGAAUCUGUAGCAGUGGGGAAACUUGCUGAGAUUUGGCAUUCAAGACCAAAGAGAUUUACCUAGGAUCUGUACCCUGUUGGCCAGAAUUAUUGCUACUGUUGUUCUUCAAUUAUGCUACUUUUUCACUUGGAAAGAGAUGGAAACUUGUAAGGCAGUGAAUCUAUCUUUACUCCUUUUCAGAUGGCUGAUUCUAAAGGCAGGUUUAGGUUCCUGCUAACCCUUCUGUUCUGUCCUGAUUGUCCGCCUUACUGAAGGUCUGUUUUCUACAGCUCACAAUAGUCGGGUAGAGUCCAGUGAUGCCAAGCCACAGAAAUGAGACCUUGGAGGGAGAAGCACUACAGGCCUUUGCUUCAGUUUCCAUAGAAAUGAGCCAGAGGUGGUACCAGUCACAGGGGUUCUUAAAGCCAGAGAGAAUUUAUUUUGAGAAUCCCAUCAUAUAGCAAAUACCACUCUGCAGUAGUUUUU